rnacentral:rRNA from 1 species
GACGUAGGGUGCGAGCGUUGUCCGGAUUUAUUGGGCGUAAAGAGCUCGUAGGCGGCUCGUCGCGUCGACCGUGAAAACCCGCGGCUUAACUGCGGGCUUGCGGUUGAUACGGGCGGGCUAGAGUUCGGUAGGGGAGACUGGAAUUCCUGAUGUAGCGGUGAAAUGCGUAGAUAUCAGGAGGAACACCGGUGGCGAAGGCGCACAUCUGGCCCGAUACUGACGCUGAGGCGCGAAAGCUAGGGGAGCAAACAGG